GCCGGCCACUUCACUGACUUCUUGCUAACGUUACGUUAGCUGCUCUGUUUUAGCAAAGUUUACUGAAAAAAAAACGUGCAUGUAGACCGAAACUCAUCUGUGCUGUUCGGUCGGGAGUUGCGGUGACUUAAACCAGCGGAGCUGGAUCGGGGUUCGUCAUACAUCAGCUUCAUCACAAAAGAGACAAACUGACAUACAGUGUGCCAAAUAUCAUGCCAGAUGGAUGUUGAUUCGACCACAGCACUUUCCAAUGCUAGUAAAGAAGGGACCGAUGACAAUGUUCAGUAUGCUGCCCC